AUUGAACGCUGGCGGCAGGCCUAACACAUGCAAGUCGAACGAGUGGCGGACGGGUACGUAAUGUCUGGGAAACUGCCUGCUGGAGGGGGAUAACUACUGGAAACGGUAGCUAAUACCGCAUAACAUCAGAUGUUCCCUGAUGGGAUUAGCUAGUUGGUGGUGUAACGGCUCACCAAGGCGACGAUCCCUAGCUGGUCUGAGAGGAUGACCAGCCACACGGGAACUGAGACACGGUCCAGACUCCUACGGGAGGCAGCAGUGGGGAAUAUUGCACAGUGGGCGAAAGCCUGAUGCAGCCAUGCCGCGUGUAUGAAGAAGGCCUUCGGGUUGUAAAGUACUUUCAGCGGGGAGGCGUUACCCGCAGAAGAAGCACCGGCUAACUCCGUGCCAGCAGCCGCGGUAAUUC
rnacentral:rRNA from 1 species